rnacentral:rRNA from 2 species
UACAUGCAAGUCGUACGAGCUUCCGUUGAAUGACGUGCUUGCACUGAUUUUAACAAUGCAGCGAGUGGCGAACUGGUGAGUAACACGUGGGAAAUCUGCCCAGAAGCAGGGGAUAACACUUGGAAACAGGUGCUAAUACCGUAUAACAACAAAAUCCGCAUGGAUUUUGUUUGAAAGGUGGCUUCGGCUAUCACUUCUGGAUGAUCCCGCGGCGUAUUAGUUAGUUGGUGAGGUAAAGGCCCACCAAGACGAUGAUACGUAGCCGACCUGAGAGGGUAAUCGGCCACAUUGGGACUGAGACACGGCCCAAACUCCUACGGGAGGCAGCAGUAGGGAAUCUUCCACAAUGGACGAAAGUCUGAUGGAGCAAUGCCGCGUGAGUGAAGAAGGGUUUCGGCUCGUAAAACUCUGUUGUUAAAGAAGAACACCUUUGAGAGUAACUGUUCAAGGGUUGACGGUAUUUAACCAGAAAGCCACGGCUAACUACGUGCCAGCAGCCGCGGUAAUACGUAGGUGGCAAGCGUUGUCCGGAUUUAUUGGGCGUAAAGCGAGUGCAGGCGGUUUUUUAAGUCUGAUGUGAAAGCCUUCGGCUUAACCGGAGAAGUGCAUCGGAAACUGGGAGACUUGAGUGCAGAAGAGGACAGUGGAACUCCAUGUGUAGCGGUGGAAUGCGUAGAUAUAUGGAAGAACACCAGUGGCGAAGGCGGCUGUCUAGUCUGUAACUGACGCUGAGGCUCGAAAGCAUGGGUAGCGAACAGGAUUAGAUACCCUGGUAGUCCAUGCCGUAAACGAUGAGUGCUAAGUGUUGGAGGGUUUCCGCCCUUCAGUGCUGCAGCUAACGCAUUAAGCACUCCGCCUGGGGAGUACGACCGCAAGGUUGAAACUCAAAGGAAUUGACGGGGGCCCGCACAAGCGGUGGAGCAUGUGGUUUAAUUCUAAGCUACGCGAAGAACCUUACCAGGUCUUGACAUCUUCUGCUAAUCUUAGAGAUACGACGUACCCUUC